AAAUUCCGUUAUUAUAAUUAUUACUAUUAUUAUUACUAUUGCCGUUAUUAUUAUGACUAUUAUUAUGGCUGAACUUCGUCUUGGGGGACCAAAAAUUUCUGGAUGAAAAGUAUCAAAUCUUAUAGUUUUUGACCUGAAACAUUCGAAAAUGCAAGUUAAAUGUCCAGGAAACCAAUAGUUUAAGAAAUACAAGUGUUUAAAAAUGUACGUAUUUAGUGACGUUUGACAGGUUACAACGACGCCAUGUUGCUCCUACCCAUCUUCUGAUUGGUUCGCACGAAGGUUCGCGCGUAAAUUUCAAUCUGUUCAUUUAUUUCAGGUAUCAUUUGUUAACUCUAUCAAUUUUUUUAUGGAACUGUUAUAUUCUUGGUAGCAUUAUUGUCGGAACUGUCUUUUAUUGUUGCUGUGUUUUUUGUAUCUUUUAUUUAUUUUUUGUGUGUUUUUUAUAUUUUUUGUGUUUUUUUGUAUAUUUCUAUAUAAUGAGUACGAUAAAAUAUAAUUUAUGCAGGUAUUUGAAUUUUAUGUGUUAUUUUCUUUAAUAUAAUUUAUACAUUUUAAUUUUCUGUAUAUUUUGUAUGUAGUAUCUGUGUUUUUAUGAAUUUCAUUUAAUAUGAUUUAUGCAGCUUGCCCGCUUCGAAGGAAUCGGCUGUUUCAUGGGCCAGGGAGAAAGGACUCCUACGUACUAUAAGAAAUUGUAGUACCCAUCGCCGGCCCAUGAAGCUUUACGCAGGCGGGGAACACGGUCUUGGCCGUUUCCGAUGCCCUGCUGGCCGCGGUAACUGCAAACAGUACGCGGCCACAGUCGAUUCCUUCUUUCAGGAUGUCCGUCUGCCCUUACAUAAGGCAAUAAAGCUUAUGUAUUGCUUCACUUCCGACUUCUCCUACGAGGUUACCGCAACGGAGGUAUCCGACGUAGGAGAAGAUGAGGAAGUGUUGUCAACGGACACGAUUGCAGCGUGGUUCCGCUACUGUCGGGAGAUGAUAGUGGACCACGUUUGCAAAAUGCAAGCGGGCAAGCCGAAAUUAGGCGGGAUCGAUGAAGGAGGUUCUGCAAUCGUUGUACAGAUCGAUGAGGCCAAAUUUAUACUCGACGGCCACUGGGUACUUGGCAUGGUCGACACAUCGACUAACGAUUGUAGAAUGGUUGUCGUUCAAUACCGGGAAGCGGCAACCUUGAUCCCCCUAAUUAAAGAAAACGUUGCUGCAGGCAGUGAGAUCCAUACGGACUCAUUUAGGAGUUACAUGGGUCUCGCUGCUGAAGGAUUCAUCCAUAAGAUGGUGAAUCAUAGCGUCGAAUUUGUUGCGCCUGAUGGAACUCAUACGCAACAAAUUGAAGCGAACUGGCGACCGGCAAAGGAUUGGACGCGCGGAAGAGGCCGCUUCCAUGACGAAGAAUUUGCCGAUCGCUUGUGUGAGUAUUUGUGGAGAAAAUUCUGCAAAACUCACAGAAUUCAUCUUAUGGAUUCCUUGAUCGCAGCAAUCAAGGAGCAGUAUGUUUUCGAAUAAGGUAACUUGAACUUAGUCACUUAAACGAACCAAUCAGAUGAUGGGUAGAAACAAUAUGGCGUCACUCUAACCUCUGAAAUGUCACUAAAUACGUCAAAAACAACAAAAAAAAAAGGACCCCUUAAUUUUUGGUCCCCCAAGACGAAGUUUUACCAUUAUUAUUAUUGAAAAAGAUAUUUUUUAAAGUUUUUUCUAAGUGUUUAGGUUUUUCAAUAACUUCUGCUGAUGAGAUGCAGUAACAGGAGGAGAAGAUAGAAAUUAAAUAAGAAAGAGGAAGAAAAUGUGCAUCAUCAGAGGGUGCAUUAACGAAAACAGCAGGAUGUUCUCCUUCCCCUAAGAGAGGAAGGAUAAGAAGAGGAUGGCACAGUGGAUGGAAGUAUGUGACAAUCCAAAGUCAGUGCUUUCACCUGAAAACUGAAAUUCCGGGUGAUCUGUAGUAGCUACUUUAAGAACAAUACUUCAUGAGGAAAAGAUUAACAUCAGCAGUUCCAACACUGAACUUACUUGUGUCAGAGACUAUCUCUAUUAAAAUAGAGCAACAAGACAUCUGGAUGCAAAUGAAAAGAAGAAAAAGAGGAAGAUUUUAAACUUGACUGCACCAGGGGAGUGGAGAACGUGAUUUUCAAUUGUAUGUUAUUGUAUAUUAUUAUUGACAUAUAUAUAUAUAUAUAUAUAUAUAUAUAUAUAUAUAUAUAUUUAUUAUAUUUUAGUAAAAAUUUAAUAUAUUUCCAUUACUG